CUGGCUGUUAUUUCCUGUGUCAAACUUCCUCUUACCCCUCAAGUUUGUACAUGAGACAGUUAGAGGGGCCGUGUCUCAGCUCUGCCACCCACGUCUCAGCCCACUCGCACUCGAUUGGACAGAAUGUUAAAGAAAACUCAGAACAUAAAUCUGGGUGGGGAGAGCUAAGAACUCUACAUUAUGUUCUGUCUCGUUUCUUUUUUUAUAGCUCAUCAUAACCUAUGCCUAUUUUUCCCUUUGAAUCUUUCAUAGAUUCCAGUCAUAGGCCAGAUUCAAGACUCAACCCCAAUUAUUGGGUAUAAGAGACACAAUAGGUAUUCAAUAAACAUCGGUUGAAUUGAAUUAAAUGGGAUUGAAAUUGGCCCCACUAAGACAUAGAUCUCUUAGGGGUUGUUUGGCUGCAAAAACCAGAAAUCUAGAUGACUAGCUAAAGCUAAACAAGAAAAUUUACUGUAAGGAUACAUGGAUUUCUUUAUGAGAAAAUGCAAAAGGAAGUGGAAACUUACCAGGAAUGAAAGAGAAUGCUGUUUAUAAUUUUUAGGGAGCAUUGAGGUCAAGGAUCUGCCUCACUAUCCUUCCACCUUUGGCUCUGCUUGCAGUGGCUCUGGUUCUAUCCAUGCUUUUACUAAGCCUGCAAAUUCUGUAAAGCAGGAAACUACAAAAACGUUACAAAAGGCUCUGUCAAAAGAUUCUUCAAGUGAUUAAGGAUAGCACACUCUGCAUAGGAAAUGAAGCCCUCGGAGAGAUUUGAAGAAGCCCUUGGAGAGAUUUGAGAUAUCCCUAACGGAGAAAGAAUUGACCUUCAUUAUCUCAGGAAGGCUUUUGACAUAAAAGAGAAAGAGAAGAAACUGAUUACUUAAAGAGGAGAGAGAGCUGUAAAGAGAACUACGAGGAUGAGCAUCAGGCUUAAAGUGGCUUAAUUUAUAAACGGAUAAUUUAAAAAUAGAAUUGGAACAUUAAGCCUUAAUAUGACCUAUACUCCUCGCAAUCCAGAAGUGAAGAAAUGUGGACAUGAGAGGGGCACAGAGGAAGACUACCUGAAGACACACAGAGAGAAGGUGACCACGUGGUUGGAGUGGAGCAUCUACAAACCAACACACAUACCAAGGAUUGCUGGUAUAAAGGAGUACAGACGAGGUCAAAAUUCUAAAAUUGGAAUCUUGCCAUUAACAAACAGAACUGACAUUCUGAUACUUCUAUCUGCUGUGGACGUGACACAGAGACUUACCAAAGCCAAGAUACAUUUAUUCAAGGAGGAGCAACUUGCCUUUAUACUUAUACCUUUGUUAAUAACUUGUUUAAAGCAAUCCUUUGUUUUCUUUGCAUAUUUGAAUUGAUUUGCUAAAAGUUAUCUACUGUUAAAUAAGCAAAACUCAAAAUUUUCAAGCAUAUGGGACUUGUUCAGAAUCAGUUUUUAGUUUCUUUUUCAGGAUUUUGUACAAGUUGCAAGAGAAGAGACACAAAAUUAUCUUAUUAAUUCUAUUGCAAUAUGGAGAUACAUUUUAAACAAAUGGAAAUAAUCAAUAUUAGUAUUAUCUGUAUAUUUGUGUGUGUGUGUGUUGAUCUGACUAUAUUUUUCUUCAAAGGGAAAUCACAAAGGCCAAGUGUGUUUAUCAGGUAACUCACCUUAAGAAAACUUGUACUAUGUGAAAAGUCAAUUUCUUUAAAAACUGUCACCAACUCAACCCUGGUUUGUAAGUAGAAAAAACUAUCAAUUAUUUUUUAACAAUAGUAAUACUCCCAAGGUAUAUACUUCUGCCACAAAAAAUUAAGAAUAGUUUACUUAGCACGUUUUGUCAUUGUGGAAAUCAUUGAGAAAAAUCACAGUGGAAAGUUAUUUGAAAAGGCAUAACUGUCAUUAGAAAGAAAUUAAGAAUAAAGAAGGCAGGCCUGGCGUGGUGGCUCAUGCCUGUAAUCCCAGCACUUUGGGAGGCUGAGGUGGGUGGAUCUCCUGAGGUCGGGAGUUCAAGACCAGCCUGACUAACAUGGAGAAACCCCAUCUCUACUAAAAAUACAAAAUUAGCCGGGGUGGUGGCACAUGCCUGUAAUCCCAGCUACUCGGGAGGCUGAGGCAGGAGAAUUGCUUGAACCCAGGAGAUGGAGGUUGCGGUGAGCUGAGAUGGUGCCAUUGCACUCCAGCCUGGGCAAAAAGAGUGAAACUCCACCUAAAAAAAAAAUAAAAAUAAUAAAAAAAUAAAGCAGUAAAAACAAAAUGUUUGCAUGUGUCAUUAUCUUUGUAUUGGUCGUCUAUUUUGUAAACUUUCAUCAUUACUUUAAGCAUUUCAGGCCACUUCUUCAGUCAUUAUUGUUGAUUAUCAUUUAGUCCUCCAAUUCCAUCAGAGUGUGCUAAGGUAGUAAAAUGAAAUUAGGCACAAUGCAUGGCAGAAGGUAUAGCAAUUUGAAAUGUCUUCCAAAAUCAAUUAGAUAUUACUUUGGGUUAGCAGUGGAGGUGGGAACAUAGUUACAGGUAAUUGAGAAUUGGCUGUGAAUAUGGGCUCAUACAUUGUGUUUUUGAACAUGUUGAUAUAAUUCUGUGAAAUGAGAGAAAUGGCCUCAAAUCACCUGGCUGCUUCUGCUUUAUUUUAUGGUUAGAUAUUCAACUGCCAUCACAGACUACAAUAGAGGAAAGCUGCUAUUAUUUAUCAAAGACUAGACCUGCUAGCUGAAGUGCAGUUCACCAUUCACUUGGGUGGUGGUAUGGCUCACCUCCAAAACACUGCUCAUGAGUUGACCUUAUUAUUUUUAUCUGCAUGUCUUGACCUAUAGCGGGCUUAAAAUGUCAUUAUCAACCUAAUGGAAAUACAGAUUUUUCAUUUUUUUCCCUUUCUCUGCCUUCUCUUUUUUCUUUUCUUUUCUUUUUU
rnacentral:lncRNA from 10 species